AACGUAGGAGACGAGCGUUAUCCGGAAUUACUGGGCGUAAAGCGCGAGUAGGCGGAAGUGCAAGUCUUUUGUGAAAGCUCCUGGCUAAACUGGGAGAGGUCGAAAGAUACUGCACAUCUGGAGUAUGGAAGAGGGGUGCGGAAUUCCGGGUGUAGUGGUGAAAUGCGUAGAUAUCCGGAGGAACACCAGUGGCGAAGGCGGCACCCUGGUCCAAGACUGACGCUAAGACGCGAAAGCAUGGGGAGCGAAC
rnacentral:rRNA from 1 species